UCGGGAAUAUUGCGCAAUGGAGGAAACUCUGACGCAGUGACGCCGCGUAUAGGAAGAAGUUUUUCGGAAUGUAAACUAUUGUCGUUAGGGAAGAGAAAGGACAGUACCUAAGGAGGAAGCUCCGGCUAACUACGUGCCAGCAGCCGCGGUAAUACGUAGGGAGCGAGCGUUAUCCGGAAUUAUUGGGUGUAAAGGGUGCGUAGACGGGAGAGCAAGUUAGUUGUGAAAUCCCUCGGCUUAACUGAGGAACUGCAACUAAACUACUUUUCUUGAGUGCACGAGAGGUAAGUGGAAUUCCUAGUGUAGCGGUGAAAUGCGUAGAUAUUAGGAGGAACACCAGUGGCGAAGGCGACUUACUGGACUGUAACUGACGUUGAGGCACGAAAGUGUGGGGAGCAAACAGGAUUAGAUACC
rnacentral:rRNA from 1 species